rnacentral:lncRNA from 1 species
GUGUUCUAAACACCUAAAACACCUAAAAGUACAAUUCAGUGAAUAGCCAUCAUAGCCAAUAAGAAAAUUCAAGGAAAUUGGUUUCCUUACUCAGUAGAGAAAGGCUUUAGUAAUUUUUGUACUGGAUCGCAGAGGGAAGCAGGACUAGUUCUUUGACCGUCCAUUGCCUCCCACCCUGUCUGUCCUUGACAAGGUGUAGUUGAGUUGUUAAGGUAAAAGGGACUGUUUUGAGCCCAGCUCCAGAAACUCACCCUUUCUCAUUUGGCCUUGUUCUCCCUCACUCCCUGCAUGGCCUCUGGGUGUUGUCUGGACAGGGACCCUGCAAGGAAUUCCUAACGAGAGGCCUCCAAGCACUUCAGAAAUCCCACUCUCUCACCCUCAUCAUUGGGACGGCCCAGGCCCUCUACCUUGUGCUGCAAAAUCUCACCGAAUCCUGUGUCAUGGAUAAUUAUACUGCACCCCAGGAGCUGGCUUGACGUAUCUUAGAGGGCUGUUGACUUGGACGGAGCAUUGCUGAGUGUUGAGUCCGUUUGUCAGAACCUUGGUAUGAACCAGGAAGCACAUACCUUGCCCAGUGAUCGCCACCUGGAGGAACGGCUGGGAAGUACCUCUGUGGUGAGGAUGAGUAAAGGGCAGGAGAAGCAGAUACAGGACCUGUUGUUCAUGAUCAUAAGGUGGGCCAACUGGAUGAUUAGCAACGAGAAAUUUCUGCAAGAGUCCUUUUGUCUUCAGGGAGAAGAAAGAAAAAUUCAGUUAGCAGAGUACUUCUGCAGUCUUCGUGCCGUAGCAAUUGCCUAGCAGCCCUCACGAUACACAUUUGUUGCUUGAUUUUCCACCCAUGGCGAAGCAACCUUGUGUGAGGUAGCACCAGAAAGGAAGUGAACUUUGGUCAAUUUCUCAGUUUCCCCAGUGUUGCACUGAGAAGCUAUUUGGGAGCCAUACAAUCAACCAAACGUUGCACAAAUCCCCUUGAGCACUCCACUGCGCUUCUGUUCCCUGAGAAAUCUGCUUAUCUCAGAG